rnacentral:rRNA from 1 species
AUGGCGAAUUGCCCCACUUUUCUUGCUAUGAUCCUCCCUUUCCUCGUUGCUGCGCUUCAUGUUAGCAGGCAGCUCACCGUUCCCUCCUCCUCCGGCCCCCAGCACAUCACGUCCUUAUCCUUCUCCCCACGCCAGGAGCCGCCAGGCCCCAUAGCGCAGUCGUCGUCCGAGAGCGAGGUCAAGCCCGAGGCUGCUGUAUUGGAGGAGGUCAUGAAGACAGGAUUGUCGGCCGUGGAUAUGGAUGAGAAAUUGGAGCAUCUAGCCAAGGUGCUUCGGCUGUUCGGCUACGAGCGCAUGGCAUCAGCGCUGCCGGUUACGGUGGACUCGAGAAUGCUGGCGAUCUGGCAUGGUCCUGUCACCGUCUUCGCUGUCCCAGAUGCUGCCUUCGAGGCCGCUUGCUCCGGCGGCCCGCUUCGUGCUCUUUUGCUCAAGCAAAUGGCCCUUGGGUCAUAUCCCGUCUCGAAGCUUUCCUCGUACCCAUCCUUGAGGCUUAGAACAGCUGCGUUUGGCUUUUGUCUCACAUCAGUGACUACGAUUGUGUGGUCGCCUUCCACUGAUGAUGUCACCAGAGUCGUUGGCAUGAACUCCGUGGAGAUUACUCGUCCUGACUUAUACAGUGACGGACACUUUGUUGUACACGGAGUGAAGAGCUACAUACACUUGCCGCUUUACGACUCGUGUACAUUCAUUCCCAAGGACCGGUCUUUCUUUGUGUCAAGAGUUCUGAACAAGAUACUACUCCCUCCGUUCCGAAUUACUUGUCGCACGUAUGGAUGUAUUUUAGUUCUAGAUACAUCCAUUUCAGCGACGGGUAAUUUGGGACGGAGGGAGUAG